GGCGGAGAGCCAAGUCAGGAUGGG
rnacentral:tRNA from 1 species